UCCCUCUUGCUAAUUGAGUUUAAUCUGAAGGCUUCUUAGGUUAUCCUACUAAGAAGUGUAAGAGUAAAUGAAGAAGGAGGAGGAGAGUAAUAUGAGGGUCAUCAGAAGUAGUAGUCAUGGAGGCACCGAGUCUCAGUGAUAACCCUGGUUGGGGAAAAAUAAAAAGAUAAAAGCUAAUGUCCACCUACCAUGAGGAAAUGAAAGACUGCAUUCAUGUGUCAACAAGUGCACUACUGUAUUGUAAACCAAUAAU